rnacentral:rRNA from 1 species
AGUGGCGGACGGGUGAGUAACACGUGAGAAUUUGCCUUUAGGAGGGGGAUAACAAUUGGAAACAAAUGCUAAUACCCCAUAUGCUUUUGAGUGAAAUGGAUUUAUCCGCCUAGAGAGAAGCUCGCGGCUGAUUAGCUUGUUGGUAAGGUAAGAGCUUACCAAGGCGACGAUCAGUAUCUGGUUUGAGAGGACGAUCAGACACACUGGAACUGAGACACGGUCCAGACUCCUACGGGAGGCAGCAGUGGGGAAUUUUCCGCAAUGGGCGAAAGCCUGACGGAGCAAUACCGCGUGAGGGAAGACUGCCUAUGGGUUGUAAACCUCUUUUUUCAGGGAGGAAUAAAAUGACGUGUACCUGAAGAAUAAGCAUCGGCUAGCUCCGUGCCAGCAGCCGCGGUAAGACGGAGGAUGCAAGUGUUAUCCGGAAUCACUGGGCGUAAAGCGUCUGUAGGUUGUUUAAUAAGUCAACUGUUAAAGCUUGAGGCUCAACUUCAAAAUCGCAGUCGAAACUAUUAGACUAGAGUAUAGUAGAGGUAAAGGGAAUUUCCAGUGGAGCGGUGAAAUGCGUAGAUAUUGGAAAGAACACCGAUUGCGAAAGCACUUUACUGGGCUAUUACUAACACUCAGAGACGAAAGCUAGGGUAGCAAAUGGGAUUAGAUACCCCAGUAGUCCUAGCCGUAAACAAUGGAUACUAGAUGU